GGACGCACGGUGGCUUAGUGGUUAGCACGUUCGCCUCACACCUACAGGGUCGGGGGUUCGAUUCCCACCGUGUCCC